GCGUGAGUGAUGACGGCCUUAGGGUUGUAAAGCUCUUUCAAUGGCGAAGAUAAUGACGGUAACCAUAGAAGAAGCCCCGGCUAAUUUCGUGCCAGCAGCCGCGGUAAUACGAAAGGGGCUAGCGUUGUUCGGAAUUACUGGGCGUAAAGCGCGCGUAGGCGGCAUAGCAAGUUGGAGGUGAAAUCCCAGAGCUCAACUCUGGAACUGCCUUCAAAACUGCUAAGCUAGAGUGCGGAAGAGGAGAGUGGAAUUCCUAGUGUAGAGGUGAAAUUCGU
rnacentral:rRNA from 1 species